rnacentral:rRNA from 1 species
UACGUAGGGUCCGAGCGUUGUCCGGAAUUAUUGGGCGUAAAGGGCUCGUAGGCGGUUUGUCACGUCGGGCGUGAAAACUCAGGGCUCAACCCUGAGCGUGCGUUCGAUACGGGCAGACUAGAGGUAUGCAGGGGAGAACGGAAUUCCUGGUGUAGCGGUGGAAUGCGUAGAGAUCCGGAGGAACACCAGCGGCGAAGGCGGCAUCCUGGACUGGUCCUGACGCUCAGGAGCGAAAGCGUGGGGAGCGAUCCGG